AUUGAACGCUGGCGGCAGGCCUAACACAUGCAAGUCGAGCGAGCGGCGGACGGGUUAGUAAUGUAUGGGGAUCUGCCCGAUAGAGGGGGAUAACUACUGGAAACUGUUGCUAAUACCGCAUACUAUCGGCUGAAUCACUAUGGGAUUAGCUAGUUGUUGGGGUAAAGGCCAACCUAGGCCACGAUCUCUUGCUGGUCUGAGAGGAUGAUCAGCCACACGGGAACUGAGACACGGCCCAGACUCCUACGGGAGGCAGCAGUGGGGAAUAUUGCACAAUGGGCGCAAGCCUGAUGCAGCCAUGCCGCGUGUAUGAAGAAGGCCUUAGGGUUGUAAAGUACUUUCAGCGGGGAGGCGUUACCCGCAGAAGAAGCACCGGCUAACUCCGUGCCAGCAGCCGCGGUAAUAC
rnacentral:rRNA from 1 species